rnacentral:rRNA from 2 species
CAGUAGGGAUCUUCCACAAUGGACGAAAGUCUGAUGGAGCAACGCCGCGUGAGCGAUGAAGGCCUUCGGGUCGUAAAGCUCUGUUGUUAGGGAAGAACAAGUACCGGAGUAACUGCCGGUACCUUGACGGUACCUAACCAGAAAGCCACGGCUAACUACGUGCCAGCAGCCGCGGUAAUACGUAGGUGGCAAGCGUUGUCCGGAAUUAUUGGGCGUAAAGCGCGCGCAGGCGGUCCUUUAAGUCUGAUGUGAAAGCCCACGGCUCAACCGUGGAGGGUCAUUGGAAACUGGGGGACUUGAGUACAGAAGAGGAAAGCGGAAUUCCACGUGUAGCGGUGAAAUGCGUAGAGAUGUGGAGGAACACCAGUGGCGAAGGCGGCUUUCUGGUCUGUAACUGACGCUGAGGCGCGAAAGCGUGGGGAGCAAACAGGAUUAGAUACCCUGGUAGUCCACGCCGUAAACGAUGAGUGCUAAGUGUUAGGGGGUUUCCGCCCCUUAGUGCUGCAGCUAACGCAUUAAGCACUCCGCCUGGGGAGUACGGCCGCAAGGCUGAAACUCAAAGGAAUUGACGGGCCCC